UGAUAGCUCAGUCAGUAGAGCAUGAGACCUUUAAUCUCAGGGAAGUGGGUUUGAGCCCAAAGGGCAAAA